rnacentral:rRNA from 1 species
GACGAACGCUGGCGGCGUGCCUAAUACAUGCAAGUAGAACGCUGAAGGAGGAGCUUGCUUCUCUGGAUGAGUUGCGAACGGGUGAGUAACGCGUAGGUAACCUGCCUGGUAGCGGGGGAUAACUAUUGGAAACGAUAGCUAAUACCGCAUAAUAGUAGAUGUUGCAUGACAUUUGCCUAAAAGGUGCAAUUGCAUCACUACCAGAUGGACCUGCGUUGUAUUAGCUAGUUGGUGGGGUAACGGCUCACCAAGGCGACGAUACAUAGCCGACCUGAGAGGGUGGUCGGCCACACUGGGACUGAGACACGGCCCAGACUCCUACGGGAGGCAGCAGUAGGGAAUCUUCGGCAAUGGACGGAAGUCUGACCGAGCAACGCCGCGUGAGUGAAGAAGGUUUUCGGAUCGUAAAGCUCUGUUGUAAGAGAAGAACGAGUGUGAGAGUGGAAAGUUCACACUGUGACGGUAUCUUACCAGAAAGGGACGGCUAACUACGUG